rnacentral:rRNA from 1 species
UACGUAGGGGGCAAGCGUUGUCCGGAUUUAUUGGGCGUAAAGCGCUCGCAGGUGGUUCGUCGCGUCGUGCGUGAAAGACCCCGGCUCAACUGGGGGAGGUCGUGCGAUACGGGCGAACUGGAGGCCAGUAGGGGGAUGCGGAAUUCCGGGUGUAGUGGUGGAAUGCGUAGAGAUCCGGAAGAACACCGGUGGCGAAGGCGGCCUGCUGGGCAGUAGCUGACGCUGAUGCGCGACAGCGUGGGGAGCAAACAGG